CACACUGGAACUGAGACACGGUCCAGACUCCUACGGGAGGCAGCAGUAGGGAAUAUUGCGCAUUGGGGGAAACCCUGACGCAGCAACGCCGCGUGGAGGAUGACACUUUUCGGAGCGUAAACUCCUUUUCUUAGGGAAGCAUUCUGACGGUACCUAAGGAAUAAGCACCGGCUAACUCCGUGCCAGCAGCCGCGGUAAUACGGAGGGUGCCAGCGUUACUCGGAAUCCCUGGGCGUAAAGGGCGCGUAGGGGGAGGAGCUAGUCUCUUGUGCAAGCUACU
rnacentral:rRNA from 1 species